rnacentral:rRNA from 1 species
UACAGAGGGUGCAAGCGUUGCUCGGAAUUACUGGGCGUAAAGCGUGUGUAGGCGGUCUUCUAAGUGGGGUGUGAAAUCCCUGGGCUCAACCCAGGAACUGCGCCCCAUACUGGGAGACUUGAGUGUCGGAGAGGAUAGUGGAAUUCCCAGUGUAGAGGUGAAAUUCGUAGAUAUUGGGAGGAACACCAGUGGCGAAGGCGGCUAUCUGGACGAACACUGACGCUGAGACACGAAAGCUAGGGUAGCGGAACGGGA